AACGAACGCUGGCGGCAUGCCUAACACAUGCAAGUCGAACGAGACCUUCGGGUCUAGUGGCGCACGGGUGCGUAACGCGUGGGAACCUGCCCUUAGGUUCGGAAUAACUCCCCGAAAGGGGUGCUAAUACCGGAUAAUGUCUUCGGACCAAAGAUUUAUCGCCUUUGGAUGGGCCCGCGUUGGAUUAGCUAGUUGGUAGGGUAAAAGCCUACCAAGGCGACGAUCCAUAGCUGGUCUGAGAGGAUGAUCAGCCACACUGGGACUGAGACACGGCCCAGACCCCCCCGGGAGGCAGCAGGGGGGAAUAUUGGACAAGGGGCGAAAGCCUGAUCCAGCAAUGCCGGGGGAGUGAUGAAGGCCUUAGGGUUGAAAAGCUCUUUUACCCGGGAUGAUAAUGACAGGACCGGGAAAAAAAGCCCCGGCCAACCCCGU
rnacentral:rRNA from 1 species